rnacentral:rRNA from 1 species
GCCUGUCUCAGUUCGGAUUGGAGUCUGCAACUCGACUCCAUGAAGCUGGAUUCGCUAGUAAUCGCGCAUCAGCCAUGGCGCGGUGAAUACGUUCCCGGGCCUUGUACACACCGCCCGUCAAGCCAUGGAAGCCGGGAGUGCCUGAAGUGUGCAACCGCAAGGAGCGCCCUAAGGUAAAACUGGUGACUGGGGCUAAGUCGUAACAAGGUAUC